GGACUGGGAGCGUACACAGGUGCUGCAUGGCUGUCGUUCAGCUCGUGUCGUGAGAUGUUGGGUUAAGUCCCGCAACGAGCGCAACCCUGCUGCCAGUUGCCAACGGGUGGAAGCCGGGCACUCUGGCGGGACUGCCAUCGACAAGAUGGAGGAAGGUGGGGAUGACGUCAAGUCAUCAUGGCCCUUAUGUCCAGGGCGACACACGUGCUACAAUGGCCGGCACAGCGGGAAGCGAGGCAGUGAUGCCGAGCGGAUCCCUUAAAGCCGGUCUCAGUUCGGAUUGAAGUCUGCAACUCGACUUCAUGAAGCUGGAAUCGCUAGUAAUCGCAGAUCAGCUAAGCUGCGGUGAAUACGUUCCCGGGCCUU
rnacentral:rRNA from 1 species